rnacentral:rRNA from 1 species
UACGUAGGAGACUAGCGUUGUCCGGAAUUACUGGGUGUAAAGCGCGUGUAGGCGGCAUACCAAGUCUGUUGUGAAAUCGCCCCGGCUCAACUGGGCGGGGUCAAUGGAAACUGGUAAGCUGGAGGACGGUAGAGGCGAGUGGAAUUCCCGGUGUAGUGGUGAAAUGCGUAGAUAUCGAGAGGAACACCUGCGGCGAAGGCGGGUUGCUGGGCUGAUACUGACGCUGAGGCGCGAAAGCUAGGGGAGCGAACGGG